AUUGAUCCUAUGGGGAGAGACAAGGUGAGACAAUGUCUAUAGGACAGAUUGACCCUUUGGGGAGAGACAAGGUGAGACAAUGUCUAUAGGACAGAUUGACCCUAUGGGGAGAGACAAGGUGAGACAAUGUCUAUAGGACAGAUUGACCCUAUGGGGAGAGACAAGGUGAGACAAUGUCUAUAGGACAGAUUGACCCUAUGGGGAGAGACAAGGUGAGACAAUGUCUAUAGGACAGAUUGACCCUAUGGGGAGAGACAAGGUGAGACAAUGUCUAUAGGACAGAUUGACCCUAUGGGGAGAGACAAGGUGAGACAAUGUCUAUAGGACAGAUUGACCCUAUGGGGAGAGACA